rnacentral:lncRNA from 10 species
GUUAUUGGGUCCAGAGAUCUCUCCCACCCAUGUGGGUUAUGUAGAAAGCACAAGAAGAGUCCAACAUUGGAAGCAGAGUGUGGCUGAAAUGGUACAAAUGAUACCCCGUAGGCAGGGGUUCUAGUCCCAGCUCUAUCACUAGUUCUGAGUAAGUUCAACCCCAAAGGAUCAAUUACUUUUACUUCCCCUUUAACAAUUAAAAACAAUAUAAUAGUAACUGGUAUUUUAAAAUCUUACCCUUUUUAACCCUCUGUACAUGCAGAAUUUCCUUUGGAUGUUGCUCUUUCACUGGACAAUAAAAUUAGAUGGAUAAUAUCUAGUCAUCUGUUUUUUGCAACCACUUUUAGAAGGUUUUUGCUUCAUAAUUGCCCUCAAAUCUUUUUAUUUCCUCCUUUUGGUUUUCUUGCACAAAGCAGAUAAAAAUUAAAAAGUUUAAUAAAUUGGCCAUUGUGUAACCCUCAUUGAUUUUAUUUCCAUGUUCAUGUAUGGCCCUUUUUUCUUUUACUUCUGGCACAUGGCAACACUGGAACCUUACUGCUCUAAUUUUUGAAGUGGGCCUUUAGUGCAAAUUUUGUGGGCUGCUAUUUUUGUCAAAGGUGCCACUAAGAGGAAAGAAAAUAGUCCCUAAGUGUGGUUGAUUUGUGGAGGGCAAGGAAAUCUACCCGUAAUGGCUCUCUUUCCUUAUGUUCAUUUUUUCUACUCUAGAAUACUCAUUAGGCCCUAUGGUCUAGUACCUGGUUCUCAUGGGUCAUUUUAAAAUUAUGAAUUAUGAACAUAAUGUGCCCAUCCAAAAGUACCUUUUAUAGGCUUUGUACUCUGUUUUAAAAGAGAAAUAGCACUCAUAUUUUAGUGCUGCUUGCUGCUCACCCUAUGGAUCCCAAACUAUUUCUCUAUUCACAGGGUUUACUUUGACUUUAAUGUAUAUGUUCUAGUUUAUCUUAUUUUGUCUUAUCUUGAUCUUCAUUCCUUGGGUUCUUUCUUUCAUUUUUAAUUGCACAAAGAAGACCUCAAACAACUGUA